rnacentral:rRNA from 1 species
GACGAACGCUGGCGGCGUGCUUAACACAUGCAAGUCGAACGAAGUGGCGAACGGGUGAGUAACGCGUAAUCAACCUGCCCAUCAGAGGGGGACAACAGUUGGAAACGACUGCUAAUACCGACUACUGAAGGAGGGGGUUGGGUCUGAUGAGCUAGUUGGAGGGGUAACGGCCCACCAAGGCGAUGAUCAGUAGCCGGUCUGAGAGGAUGAACGGCCACAUUGGGACUGGGACACGGCCCAGACUCCUACGGGAGGCAGCAGGGGGGAAUCUUCCGCAAUGGACGAAAGUCUGACGGAGCAACGCCGCGUGAGUGAUGACGGCCUUCGGGUUGUAAAGCUCUGUUAAGCGGGACGCGGUACCGGAAGAGAAAGCCACGGCUAACUACGUGCCAGCAGCCGCGGUAAUUC